rnacentral:rRNA from 1 species
GACGAACGCUGGCGGCGUGCUUAACACAUGCAAGUCGAACGGAAAGGCCCUGCUUUUGUGGGGUGCUCGAUCGGCGAACGGGUGAGUAACACGUGAGUAACCUGCCCUUGACUUUGGGAUAACUUCAGGAAACUGGGGCUAAUACCGGAUAGGAGCUCCUGCUGCAUGGUGGGGGUUGGAAAGUUUCGGCGGUUGGGGAUGGACUCGCGGCUUAUCAGCUUGUUGGUGGGGUAGUGGCUUACCAAGGCUGUGAAGGGUAGCCGGCCUGGGAGGGUGACCGGGCACAUUGGGACUGAGGUACGGACCAGACUCCUACGGGAGGCAGCAGUGGGGAAUAUUGCACAAUGGGCGGAAGCCUGAUGCAGCAACGCCGCGUGCGGGAUGACGGCCUUCGGGUUGUAAACCGCUUUCGCCUGUGACGAAGCGUGAGUGACGGUAAUGGGUAAAGAAGCACCGGCUAACUACGUG